AACGCACAUUGCGCCCGCUAGUACUCUAGCGGGCAUGCCUGUUCGAGCGUCAUUUCAACCCUCAAGCUCUGCUUGGUGCUGGGGCUCUACGUCUGACGUAGGCCCUGAAAGGAAGUGGCGGGCUCGCUACAACUCCGAGCGUAGUAAUUCAUUAUCUCGCUAGGGAAGUGUGGCGUUCUCCCGUUAAAGACCCCAUCUUUAACCAAGGUUGACCUCGGAUCAGGUAGGAAUACCCGCUGAACUUAA
rnacentral:misc_RNA from 1 species